GAUCCUGGCUCAGGAUGAACGCUGGCGGCGUGCUUAACACAUGCAAGUCGAACGAAGCACUUUAUUUGAUUUCCUUCGGGACUGAUUAUUUUGUGACUGAGUGGCGGACGGGUGAGUAACGCGUGGGUAACCUGCCUUGUACAGGGGGAUAACAGUUGGAAACGGCUGCUAAUACCGCAUAAGCGCACGGCAUCGCAUGAUGCAGUGUAGAAAACUCGGUGGUAUAAGAUCGGACCCGUCGG
rnacentral:rRNA from 1 species